AUUUCAAAGAUUUGUAUAUAAAUGAAACCAGAGUGAAACCCGUCUUGAAUCUGUUUCACUUUCCCGGUUUGGGGUAUAGCGCGCCCACUAAAAUUUAGUCAAACUGCAAUGAUGACAUAGAUAGUCCAGAAAAAGUGAUUUUGAGUGGCUGGUGACUUCCCCUGCUUAUGUCAUCUUACAUGCUCACUGAACAAAUCGGCUUAACGAUGUGACAAUCGACAAGGUGCCUGAGAAAUACUUUAUAUGCAGAAAACGAAGUCUUCUCAAGGUUUCUUCCCAAGUGCGCGGAAGUGCACCCUUAGUUCCCCGGACCGCUAUCAAAGGUCGCCUCUUUCGCGCAAGUGGAAAUAACCCCAAACCUCAAUCCAGCAUCUGAAGCACCCAAAAUACUCCUCUCCGUAUGUAUUCUCUCAUCUCCUCCAUUUCAUUCCUUAACUUUCUAGGCCCACAGAUGCGGCUCUCGUAGCCCCUUUGGGGGCCAGAACCCUGAAUAGCCACCCUCACUCAACCGCCCCCCUGAACGGGAAGGCAGGCUUCCUUAGUCGGGCAGGACCAGCAGCCUCCCAGGCCCCUCGUGGCCGCGAGGUGGAAGCUCUCUCCUGCCCUUUACCUCAGUGCUUCGUACCCGCGGGAAAUCAAGUUAGAAAACUGCAACCUUCCCCCCGAUCUACUCCUCCUCCCGGCUCCUCACAUUUCUCUAACCGUUUUCCCCAGAAGCAUCCCGCCGGGGGAUGAAUUCGAAGACUCUCCCGACCCUCCAGUGCUGGAUUCUGGCCGGCGCCCGGUCUCUCUCCACCCCAGCCGCCCCUCCAGUGAGAAUUGCAGCAUGGUGUUUUGCACACUGCCUGUAACAUGAAUGGACAAAAAAGUUGAAGACUAUGUGAGUAUAAAAACAAGAGUUAUUAAGUCUACGAUGAUGGUAUGAUGGGAAAAUUACUGUUGAUCACAUUUAGUUAAAGAGAUAUGAACAGUAUGAAACUACUGUAUAUUCUGAGCCUCCAGCUAAGAGGUCGUCAAUGCCAAUAAAUCCAUGUUUCUUAAUAAUUUUGAUGCUAUU
rnacentral:lncRNA from 1 species